GGGGAUGUAGCUCAUCCGGUAGAGCGCCUCGUCGGCUGCGAGGAGGCAGGGGGUUCGACUCCCCCCAUCUCCA
rnacentral:tRNA from 1 species